rnacentral:tRNA from 1 species
GCAUUGUUGGUUCAGUGGUAGAAUUCUUGCCUUCCACGUAAGGGACUCAGAUUUGAUUUCUGGCCAAUGCA